UACGAAGGGGGGCUAGCGUUGCUCGGAAUGACUGGGCGUAAAGGGCGCGUAGGCGGAUGGCACAGUCAGAUGUGAAAUUCCCGGGCUUAACCUGGGGGCUGCAUUUGAUACGUGUUGUCUUGAGUUCGGAAGAGGGUCGUGGAAUUCCCAGUGUAGAGGUGAAAUUCGUAGAUAUGGGAAGAACACCGGUGGCGAAGGCGGCGACCUGGUCCGACACUGACGCUGAGGCGCGAAAGCGUGGGGAGCAAACAGGG
rnacentral:rRNA from 1 species